CUCGUAGGCGGCUCGUCGCGUCCGGUGUGAAAGUCCAUCGCUUAACGGUGGAUCUGCGCCGGGUACGGGCGGGCUGGAGUGCGGUAGGGGAGACUGGAAUUCCCGGUGUAACGGUGGAAUGUGUAGAUAUCGGGAAGAACACCGAUGGCGAAGGCAGGUCUCUAGGCCGUCACUGACGCUGAGGAGCGAAAGCGUGGGGAGCGAACA
rnacentral:rRNA from 1 species